rnacentral:rRNA from 1 species
AUGAACGCUAGCUACAGGCUUAACACAUGCAAGUCGAGGGGCAGCAUUUUAGUUUGCUUGCAAACUAAAGAUGGCGACCGGCGCACGGGUGAGUAACACGUAUCCAACCUGCCGAUAACUCGGGGAUAGCCUUUCGAAAGAAAGAUUAAUAUCCGAUAGUAUAUUAAAACCGCAUGGUUUUACUAUUAAAGAAUUUCGGUUAUCGAUGGGGAUGCGUUCCAUUAGUUUGUUGGCGGGGUAACGGCCCACCAAGACUACGAUGGAUAGGGGUUCUGAGAGGAAGGUCCCCCACAUUGGAACUGAGACACGGUCCAAACUCCUACGGGAGGCAGCAGUGAGGAAUAUUGGUCAAUGGACGAGAGUCUGAACCAGCCAAGUAGCGUGAAGGAUGACUGCCCUAUGGGUUGUAAACUUCUUUUAUAUGGGAAUAAAGUAUUCCACGUGUGGAAUUUUGUAUGUACCAUAUGAAUAAGGAUCGGCUAACUCCGUGCCAGCAGCCGCGGUAAUACGGAGGAUCCGAGCGUUAUCCGGAUUUAUUGGGUUUAAAGGGAGCGUAGGCGGGCUUUUAAGUCAGCGGUCAAAUGUCGUGGCUCAACCAUGUGAGCCGUUGAAACUGUAAGCCUUGAGUCUGCACAGGGCACAUGGAAUUCGUGGUGUAGCGGUGAAAUGCUUAGAUAUCACGAAGAACUCCGAUUGCGAAGGCAGCUCACUAGACUGCAACUGACACUGAUGCUCGAAAGUGUGGGUAUCAAACAGGAUUAGAUACCCUGGUAGUCCACACAGUAAACGAUGAAUACUCGCUGUUUGCGAUAUACAGUAAGCGGCCAAGCGAAAGCAUUAAGUAUUCCACCUGGGGAGUACGCCGGCAACGGUGAAACUCAAAGGAAUUGACGGGGGCCCGCACAAGCGGAGGAACAUGUGGUUUAAUUCGAUGAUACGCGAGGAACCUUACCCGGGCUUAAAUUGCAUUUGAAUAAUCUGGAAACAGGUUAGCCGCAAGGCAAAUGUGAAGGUGCUGCAUGGUUGUCGUCAGCUCGUGCCGUGAGGUGUCGGCUUAAGUGCCAUAACGAGCGCAACCCUUAUCUUUAGUUACUAACAGGUCAUGCUGAGGACUCUAGAGAGACUGCCGUCGUAAGAUGUGAGGAAGGUGGGGAUGACGUCAAAUCAGCACGGCCCUUACGUCCGGGGCUACACACGUGUUACAAUGGGGGGUACAGAAGGCAGCUACCUGGCGACAGGAUGCUAAUCCCAAAAACCUCUCUCAGUUCGGAUCGAAGUCUGCAACCCGACUUCGUGAAGCUGGAUUCGCUAGUAAUCGCGCAUCAGCCAUGGCGCGGUGAAUACGUUCCCGGGCCUUGUACACACCGCCCGUCAAGCCAUGAAAGCCGGGGGUACCUGAAGUACGUAACCGCAAGGAGCGUCCUAGGGUAAAACUGGUAAUUGGGGCU